rnacentral:lncRNA from 1 species
UCAGCUCCUGGGGCUGCUAAUGCUCUGGGUCCCUGAUCCAGUGAGGAUAUUGUGAUGACCCAGACUCCACUCUCCCUGCCCGUCACCCCUGGAGAGCCGGCCUCCAUCUCCUGCAGGUCUAGUCAGAGCCUCUUGGAUAGUGAUGAUGGAAACACCUAUUUGGACUGGUACCUGCAGAAGCCAGGGCAGUCUCCACAGCUCCUGAUCUAUACGCUUUCCUAUCGGGCCUCUGGAGUCCCAGACAGGUUCAGUGGCAGUGGGUCAGGCACUGAUUUCACACUGAAAAUCAGCAGGGUGGAGGCUGAGGAUGUUGGAGUUUAUUACUGCAUGCAACGUAUAGAGUUUCCUUCCACAGUGGUACAGCCCUGAACAGAAACCU